rnacentral:rRNA from 1 species
CAGCCGCCGCGGGAAUACGUAGGGUGCGAGCGUCAAUCGGAAUUACUGGGCGUAAAGCGUGCGCAGGCGGCUUUGCAAGACAGAUGUGAAAUCCCCGGGCUCAACCUGGGAACUGCAUUUGUGACUGCAAGGCUAGAGUGCGGCAGAGGGAGAUGGAAUUCCGCGUGUAGCAGUGAAAUGCGUAGAUAUGCGGAGGAACACCGAUGGCGAAGGCAAUCUCCUGGGCCUGCACUGACGCUCAUGCACGAAAGCGUGGGGAGCAAACAGGAUUAGAUACCCCUGUAGUCCCUGUCUCUUAUAC